UGGGGAAUAUUGCACAAUGGGGGAAACCCUGAUGCAGCGACGCCGCGUGAACGAAGAAGGUAUUCGUAUCGUAAAGUUCUGUCCUAUGGGAAGAUAAUGACAGUACCAUAGAAGAAAGCUCCGGCUAAAUACGUGCCAGCAGCCGCGGUAAUACGUAUGGAGCGAGCGUUGUCCGGAAUUAUUGGGCGUAAAGGGUACGCAGGCGGUUUAAUAAGUCGAAUGUUAAAGAUCGGGGCUCAACCCCGUAAAGCAUUGGAAACUGAUAAACUUGAGUAGUGGAGAGGAAAGUGGAAUUCCUAGUGUAGUGGUGAAAUACGUAGAUAUUAGGAGGAAUACCAGUAGCGAAGGCGACUUUCUGGACACAAACUGACGCGGAGGUACGAAAGCGUGGGGAGCAAACAGG
rnacentral:rRNA from 1 species